rnacentral:rRNA from 1 species
UACGGGGGGGGCAAGCGUUGUUCGGAAUUACUGGGCGUAAAGGGCUCGUAGGCGGCCAACUAAGUCGGACGUGAAAUCCCCGGGCUUAACCUGGGAACUGCGUUUCUAACUGGCAGGCUUGAGUGUGGCAGAGGGGGGUGGAAUUCCACGUGUAGCAGUGAAAUGCGUAGAGAUGUGGAGGAACACCGAUGGCGAAGGCAGCCCCCUGGGCUAACACUGACGCUCAUGCACGAAAGCGUGGGGAGCAAACAGG